rnacentral:lncRNA from 1 species
ACGGGGGGACGAGCGGUGCGGGGGUGUCAUCGUGGGGAGACAAGCGCCCCAAUCAGGAUCGGCGCCCCUAUUCGCCGCGCCCUUACGACGACCGAAAGGGCAUCUACCCAGUGAAGUCGACCCAGGGACGGGCUACUGGGACAGUCACCCGCCGCGGGAGAUCGGCUGGGAUCCGGAGGACGGCCGUGUGGGCGUGGUGUCCGGCUGGAUCGGAGGACAGAAAGGGGGCAGUAAGGGAGGUUACAAGGGGGCUACGACGACUACGAUCGGAAGGACGGUGACGUGGGCCGCGUGACGUCGGGUUACGUCUACGUGCCGAACGCAAUCGAGGCGAAGCCGUGGGACGCCACAACGAAGGGCUAUUCCAAGCCCGCGAACUGGGGCGCUGGCUACGAUCGAGACUACGCCUCCAAGUGGGACUACAACGCCCCUAUGUCGCAUGACAGGAAACCUCAGGGCUAUGAUCACAUGCCAGACAGGUUCGACCGAAGGCCAGAUGGCUGGGACACUAGGCCAGUGGGUAUGACACCAGACCGGGAGGCUAUGACACCAGGCCUGGUGGGUAUGACACCAGACCUGGUGGGUAUGACACUAGACCAGGUGGGUACGACCCUCGGCCUGGUGGGUAUGACAGUAGGCCUGGCGGAUAUGAUACCGGAACUGGAGGAUAUGACAGGAGACCAGGGGGGUACGACAGUAGACCGGGAGGGUACGAUACCAGGCCAAGUGGCUAUGAUACUGGGCCUGGAGGAUAUGACUCCAAACCAGGUGGAUAUGAUGCAAGGCCUGGAUUCGACAGGAGACCAGACGGGUAUGACAGAGGGUCGGAGGGCUGCAGAACAGGUUGCGGACGGCCGGGUGACACACUCCACGGACAUGACUGGCGAGAGAGCGGAACCAGUCAGGAUGGAUACCCUUCCAAGAGGCCAGACCAUUCCUUCCCGCCUUCAGGCCCUGGCAACUAUGACAGUUCAACCCGAUUCCAAAAUGACAGACUGCCAGCUCCUACGCCAACCCGAUUCAAUGGACACAGCGGUAUCGGAGCAUCGACAGAAUAUGGAUACGUCUACAGAGGCUCUUAUCAGCAGGAUAGAGACCAAGUUGUUUCCACCACUAUUUCGUCGCUUCCUGUCUCAACUACCAUUGUCCCAUCCACAACCCUCCCACCGGAGUAAUUAAGAUACUCACCCAAGUAGCGGUGAUCGUCAAAUAGCGAUUUUGUCGGUGGCAAUUGCACGCAAUAUCAUUGAAUUAAAAAUUGCGAUAUAUCGCGAUUAAAUCAUUAUACAUCGCAAUGUUCAGUUCGAUGAAAUCGCUAUCAAUAUUUGUCGAUAAAAUCGUCACAUAUUGCGAUUUUUACCUCGAUAAUAUCGCGAUGAAUUGCUCGGCGAUAUGGAUCGAGGAUAAUUGCUCAGAUGAUGAUGAUCCUAUCGCGAUUGUUCCGUUGAAAAGUGCUACUUGGGCAAUAACCUAAUUUGCUCACGUCAACGGUUAAACUAGAGAUAUGAAUACUUAUCUCGAUUAGCCAUGUUGCAAAUUCCCUGUCAUAUUGAGCAAAGAGGUUGAGAAAGAAUUCCCUGGGGGUUGAGGGGUUAAGAAGAGAUGAGCUGGCGCUUUUCAGUUCCUAGUGAAACUAGGGACAGACAAUCUCUUUGGGAGGGUGCAGGACAGGGACAUGUAGAUGUUGUAACUGCCGGGGAUUUGGAGGUGUCUUCCGAUCAUUGAGGGUGCAGUGGGACGUGUCUCCAAGCAGGGCCGGAUUUACUUACUUGCCGCCCAUGGGCCGCCUGUAUUUUGCCGCCCCCUUCUCAUUCGUUUUGAAACACCAAUAAAAACCAUAGGGGGUGCAUAAGACGCGUUUACUCGUGAUGGGCACAUUUUUUGCGAAAGCCCUGUCAAAACUGCUAAAGCAAAAGUUCACAGAACUUGGCGCGAAAGUUAUAUUCCCUUAAACCUAUCUCCGUGUGGACAAAGCCUUCCAUUCAUAUGAAAUUAACGAAAGAAUUAUGAAAGAACAAACAUAAAUGUGGUUUAAUAAUUUUAACUUCCGCUGCCGCGCUGCGCUGACCGCACUGUGUUUGGCGCAAUGCGUGAAGUAUUCAUGCAGUCUUGUAGGCGCUAUGCGUUUCACGCCGCUCGCUGCUGGCCGCAGUGACCGCACUGUCUUUUGACGCAAUGCGUGAAGUAUUCAUGCAGUCUUGUAGGCGCUAAUAUGUUUACAUGCCAACCGGCCGCGCCGAUGGUUUCUCCUUUUCAUCUUAAGUUCUCGUCAUCAUUGCUCUCUGCGCCGCGCGGUUCCAGGCCAAAUUCCAUGUUCGGUUUCUCUCUUACAAUUAGUCUUAACUCGACUGAUUAAAGGUGCUGUCUAUUGUAUCACAGAAAGUCGACAAAAUUAGAGAUACUCUCAGGAUAUGAGAGAUUUUGUCACCUUUUCCCGUUUGUAAUUCUUUUCUGAAUCCGAUUUUUCUCUGUACCUACAUUUAAAAAAUUGCAAAAUUUGCCGCCAUGGGCCGCGGCCCAUGUGGCCACCCCCUAAAUCCGGCCCUGUCUCCAAGUCUGAGUUCCUGAAUCUUAUCCUCUAAUCAACGAGGAGGCCGUUGUUUUCUUUUAACCAUUAGCCCUCUUUUACCAUCUUUACUGGUCAUUUAGCAAUGGAUGAUUAAAUUCUUACAAUUACGUUUUUCCAUUACUAUUCAGCCUAAAUUCUUUAAGAAAACAAAACAGUUGAUAUGUCCUACAACUUCACCUCCAAUUGGACGUAUUUGGAUCAGUGAGAACAUAAACACACCAACUCUGUAAGUCGAAAAUGCUCUUUUUUCAUUACCUGAAGGCAGUCAAUUUUCAAAAAGAUCAUUGAAGUUAGGGCAUCGGUUCCAACUUGAACCUUUAAAUGGUCCUUAAGUACUUGUCCUCCGGCGCAAAAAAUAUUUUUCUCAAGCCAACUUCUUCACCUACUGUGUAGUUUUGUGUGCGUCUUGAUUAUUUUCAUUUUUUCGAGUUGGUGCGUUUUCGUUCUCACUGAUUCAUUUAUGUUAAAAGGAGGUAUGUGCAUGGGGAUUUUGUAUGACUUAGUUCCUUUUAGCAUAAAUGCGUUCAAUUCUGAAAAGGGAGACAAUUGAGUAAUCCUGACAUUCAUUAGAUUUUUUCUUGCCUUAUCAAACACUCAAUUUUUUGUCUAAAAAAAUGUUGAAUUUUUUUAUAAAAAAAAUAAAUAAAUAAAAAUGGGCAGAAAUUUUGAGCCGCCACAAACUUAAGAUAAGUGUUAUUCUACUUCUAGCAAUGUUAUUUCUUAAACCCUCAGUUUUGGCUUGAUAGUCAAGAGCUCAAAAUUUUCUUUGUUAUAUCAUACCACCAAACUGAGGAGGGAUCCCAAAUAAAUUAAGUAGGUAUUUCCCAAAACUCAAAUGACAAAGAUACUUGGGUGCUUCCUAUCCAACUGAUUCAUAACUGAAUCGAAGACUUAUCUGCAAAGCACAUUGUGCCGUUCCUUCAUAACUUAAUCCCACCGGUGCAUUUAAGUGGUGAAAUCCACGAAAUCCACGAAUCUAUGAAAGGAAAUGAAGCUUUAGUUUUUAGGAAUUGCUACAAUGUUUCAGUUUCACCUCCUAUAGAUAGAAUUUACGCAAUGACAGAAAAAGAAAAAUGCUUACAAGUACAAAAGUUCAAACAUUUUUCUUAAAAAAAUAGGUCUCGCUGAUGAAGCAAGAAUAUUCCUUCAAAGAUUUGGAGUAUGGAAAAGUGUGUAAAGAUAAAUAAUUUGCUUGAAAAUGUUUCGAUCAUUAAUAUGUUUAGGGCGCCAUGGAGGGACAACUCAUUUCUCUAACAAUUAUUAAAAAAAAAAAAAAAAUUCUUCAACGAUUCGGAAAUCACAUAUUAAUGAGUAAUUACUGCUGUCCUCUUCACAUAGUGUCAUCGUAGACUCACACUAAACAAAUUACUUGUGUUUAAAAAAAUGGACUUUUUGGAACUGAAUUCUUGCUAGUUACUUUUGAAACCUGGACUUGAUUUCUAUCAAUUUUAAAAAUCUAAUGAAUAUUAUAUUUCCCGAGAGCUGAAAAAUCAGAGCCAGAAAUAUGAUUUGAUUAUUUUUCUGUCGUUUUAACUCAUGAUCUUGGAACUAAAGUUCCUAAUUUGUUAAGCUUUUAUUAAACAUGAACUGAGGUUUUAUAUUGGGAUCUUAAAAUCCUCCUUUCAUAUCAAUAUUUCUGAGGAUUUUGAUUGAUUCAAGGUAAUUUCUUUUGAAGAUGAUUUAUUUCUUCUUCUUCUUUUUUUUUUUUUUUACAAAAAAUACAAUAUUUAUUUUUCUAGAAUGUACAGUUUGAUAAUUAACAGUGAUUGGUAUACUGCUAACAGAAAUAAAAUUUCUGCUCAAAUUUUUUCUAUUCUUUUCUGCAGUAAAUUUAGAUUUGAUGAUUGGUUGAGCCUCGAUACUUUCAUCAUUUCAGUUUUAGAUAGUAACAUAUGAUGAAUGAACUAGUCAUUGACUGACAUUCUGAUCUUGUUCACAAGAAGAUAAGUUCACAAGAAGACAGUAAAAUUUGAACUUUAUGACGAUGAAUAGGUCUAAUUCGGAUGGAGGUUCAAGUGAAUAAAAAAUGGUUAGAAGUUUUCAACAAUACCAGUUCCUGAUGUAAGUUAUCUUUUUAUCUAAGCCCUCCGACAAUCAAUCUAUGGUGUUAGUUUUUCUUGGCAUUUUUUUGUGGAGAAAUUGAAACACAGCCCCUUCAUCCCCUAUCAUAUCUAGGCAUAGAACAGCCUGAAAAGAGAUGAAAAUCAAAGACAGUGUUAAAAAUUAACAUUCAGACCUUUGCAAUGUGUGAGUGGAAACAACACAUAAAAUAAAGCUAAAUCAGAGACUGAAACUCAAACAAAACAAACAUUUUUUUUGAGCACUGAUUUCAAUAUUACUGGGAGUUACACAAUGCAAUUGUAAAAUUUUACUCCUUUUGACGAAAGUUUUAAUGUAUGGGAGUUGACUUCGAUAUAAAGAAGAUAAAGACUUUCGUUGAUCCUGAUUGACAGGAUUUUUGCCAUUCAUAUCUUUUCAUACAAAGGAGAUGAGGUUUCCCAUUGUAUCUUCAAGAAAGGAGAGGACUUUGAAUCUUCCUACUUUUAAUGGAUGUGGCUUUUCUGCUGAGAAAAGCUCGAAAAAGGAUGAUAACGAAAACGUUAUUUUAAUUUUGAAAGAUUUAUGAAGGGCAAGCAGAAGAAACACUAUCCUACCCAAUCUAAUUCCUUGUACCUGACAAAAAGUGGAAUGAUUUAACAUCACCAUAUGUGAAACCUGUUCUACAUACCUAAGUGGAUAUUCGACCACUUAUUAACAAAAAAUCUGAUAAUUUGGGGAACUGAAAACUGUAGUUAUUCGUCCAUCACAAGGCCAAAAUGGCAAGAAUAAAAACUAAAUCAGCAAGUUACCACCCAUGAAGGGGGAAAGUUGUGGAGACAAAGUAUGUAACUUUAACUAUUUUUCAGAGGAAAGAAACUUAAGAAUGCCAUUCAAGUUUUUUCUUUGCUAUAAAUAGAAUGACUUUGACAUACAAAAUGAAAUUUACUACAUUUGUUGAUAAAAUAUCGUUCAGGAAUGAAUUUCCAUUCAUUUGUCAAAUUAUCAUCUUCCUUCACUUAAAACUGAGGAGACAUAAUUUUGAUUCUUCAAAACUAACAGGAUCAACCUGAGGGAACAUUUUCUGCAAAAAUUCUCAACAUAUUAUUCAGUAAAACUCUGUUAAACAUGCACUUACAUGCACUACUUCCAUUAGGAAGGAAGUAGAUAAAGAAUAGAUUCCACAGAAUACAUCUGAAACUAAUCAGCAAAUAUACUGCUUGACCAUGGCGUGCAAGAACCUGGACUUUCUGAGGUUAGUAGCUUCUCGCUUAAUUUCUUCAUUGUUGUUAGUAUUGAGUUCCAAAAGACCUAUCACUUGCAGCUGAAAAAUUAAGAUAAUAUUUUAUUAGCUUGCAUGACUAAAAAAAAAAUCAUUCAAGAGCAAUUAACAAAUUUAUGAAUUUAUGAAACACAGACAAAUAUUCAAAAGGUCAAAGGUUCAAAGGUGCUCAUCAUCUACUAUCAUU